GUGUCCAGGGGUGGGGGAUAACGCCGGGAAACUGGCGCUAAUACCGCAUAUGAGCUGAGGCUCAAAGCAGCGAUGCGCCUUUGGAGUUACCUGCGUCCGAUUAGCUAGUUGGUGGGGUAAAGGCCUACCAAGGCGACGAUCGGUAGCUGGUCUGAGAGGACGACCAGCCACACUGGGACUGAGACACGGCCCAGACUCCUACGGGAGGCAGCAGUGGGGAAUAUUGGACAAUGGGCGCAAGCCUGAUCCAGCAAUGCCGCGUGGGUGAAGAAGGUCUUCGGAUCGUAAAGCCCUUUCGGCGGGGACGAUGAUGACGGUACCCGCAGAAGAAGCCCCGGCUAACUUCGUGCCAGCAGCCGCGGUAAUACGAAGGGGGCUAGCGUUA
rnacentral:rRNA from 1 species